rnacentral:lncRNA from 10 species
GCUGCUCCUUUCCGCCCUUGCCUGGUCCGCCAGGUGCAAUUGGGGUCGCCCGGAUGGUAGGGGUAUGGAACGUUUUUCCCGGAAAUGCCACCACUAUGGAUCAGAUUUAUGAAUGAGUACCUUUUUUCAUUCUUGUACUACAGCCAUCUCUAGAGGUUACCUAUCAGUUGAGCUGAGAACGGGGAGUUGUUGCAGAUGGAGAUGGGAGGUUGCAAUUUAAAAAUGAUUUUUUUUUUUAGUGGGGCGGGGACAGGGUCUCCCUCUGUUACCCAGGCUGGAGUGCAGUGGUGCGAUCACGGCUCACUGCAGCGUCGACCAAUGGGGCUCAAGCAAUCCUCCCACCUCAGCCUCCUGAGUAGCUAGGAAUACAGUCGUGCGCCACCACGCCCGCCUAAUUUUUGGUAGAGAUGGGUUUCGCCCUGUUGUCCAGGCUGGUCUCGAACUCCUGGGAUCUAGCCAACCUCCCGCCUCAGCCUCCCAAGGUCCUGGGAUUACAGGCGUGAGC